UUUGAACUAGUUGGAGAGAUUUCAGAGGCAACUUCAAUCAUGAGGUUUUUUUUGCUCACCUUUGCUUUGCUGCUUCUUUUCUAUGUAGCUUCAGGAAAAAUAAUGAAUUGUAAGAGUGAUGGUGGUUUCUGUCAGACUGGUCUUUUCAAGGAAUGCGAGUAUGGAAGUCUCCCAUACAACUGUGGUAUUAAUGCCAUCUGCUGCAAGCGUGGACCGUGAAACCAUCAAUGACAAGAACUUGUGAAACCCUGAGAGGUUGUUUCCUAACAAGAACCUUGCCUAUCUAGUGUGAAAUAUUCAGCAAUUGUGAUAUUAUUGGAAGAUGUUGCAAACUGUAACAUAACAGC